AGUGAACGCUGGCGGUAGGCCUAACACACGCAAGUCGAACGGCAGCACAGGAGAGCUUGCUCUCUGGGUGGCGAGUGGCGGACGGGUGAGGAAUACAUCGGAAUCUACUUUUUCGUGGGGGAUAACGUAGGGAAACUUACGCUAAUACCGCAUACGACCUACGGGUGAAAGCAGGGGAUCUUCGGACCUUGCGCGAUUGAAUGAGCCGAUGUCGGAUUAGCUAGUUGGCGGGGUAAAGGCCCACCAAGGCGACGAUCCGGAGCUGGUCGGAGGGGAUGAUCAGCCACACUGGAACUGAGACACGGUCCAGCCUCCUACGGGAGGCAGCAGUGGGGAAUAUUGGACAAUGGGAGCAAGCCUGAUCCAGCCAUACCGCGUGGGUGAAGAAGGCCUUCGGGUUGUAAAGCCCUUUUGUUGGGAAAGAAAGCCAGCUGGCUAAUACCCGGUUGGGAUGACGGUACCCAAAGAAUAAGCACCGGCUAACUUCGUGCCAGCCGCCGCCGUAACAC
rnacentral:rRNA from 1 species